GAGGAUUUUUCCAAUAAUAUGGUAGUCAGCUCUCCGUUUAUGCAGGUACAUAACAUUUAAGAUUUGAAGGCGUUGCGGUGCGUUGCGGUGCACUUUUGCCAUGCAGGACAGGAGACAGAUCUCUCUCUCUGAAUGUCGAGCCCAGCUUAUUUGGUUGGAGUGCAGAAAGGACACAUUCUGGGACAAAUUUUAAUUUACUAAAUUUUCAAUAUAUGAGGACGUAAUUUUUGGAUUGAAUUCAAGUAAAUUGAAAAUGCCGACCACGUCAGCCCUGAAGUUUGCAACGACUCACAAUGAAGACAAACUGCCACCAGACAGGACAAUGAGUCACCUUACAGAUGGAGACAAGGGUGGGUGGUUGGAAGGCUGGAUAAAGGCUGGUAGAUGACUGAACUCAGAGACCCAGCGCUGCUCAUCAUCAUUGCCAUGGGCUCUCGUCUUCCUCCUCUCCUCCUGUGGCCGAUACCUCCAACCAGGGGUCCAACAGAGCCAGUGAAGCCCAGGCAGGGAGCUAGUGAGUGGGCUGGAAAGGAUGGAGAAGGUCCCUGAUGGCUAGAAGCACCUCUGGAGCUACCAGCAUGCAGGAGAAAUCAAUAUGAAACACAGAUCCAGCACAGCUCUGAGUGGGUCUUUCCUGUGUUAGUCUGUGGCCUAGGGGCCCGCAGACCUCCAAAGGACAGGCCCUGCGUGGCCCCCUCAGCUGCAGGCUGAGACUGGCUCCUCAGACUGGACCUCAGUCCCAAUCUCCACUGGCUGUGUGUGGUUCAGCUGAAGGGGAUCUCUCCCCAAAUGAUACCCCGAAUGCUGAGAGACCGCCGACAGGGAUAUUCCUUUCUCUUUCUUUUUUUUCCCUUCAUAAGAUUGACAUAUCCCCCACCUUCUGCCUCUGGCUGUUUAAAAAACAGUUUGGCAGUCCUGCUUUUGACUCUCUCUCCAUCCUCAACACGCCCGUUGUUUAUUCCCAAACCAGUUUUUACAUUUGACAAAGAGACAGUACGAUCUUUAUUUUCUCUUCCACUCUUGGCUUGCUGUUACCAUGGUAAGCUGCAGACAUGUGUCAGUUAAGACCCGAAAAACUGGCACAUGAUAUGAUUGUCUUUUUCCCUCCGUGAUGUCUGGUAUUCAAUCCCAGAAUAUUUUUUUUUAAAUGACUAACUGAAUGUCAAGAAGGGCAGAAGAUCACAGAGCAGAGAGACCUUCUCCUCUGGUAGUGGAGAUGGUAAAAUGGCAAGUAUCUCUCUUUAGCACUCCACAUUUUCCACUCUGAACAACUCUCAAUGUGCUCUCAUUACCUCAUACGUCACAUAAAAUCAUUUGUGUGUGUGUGUGUGUGUGUGUGUGUGUAUGACUGUAACUUUGCAGCCUCUUUAGUUAAUAGAGGAUCAUUUUAUUAUUUUGAUUACAGAUGUAAAAGAUGCUUCUUUGACUCUAAGAAAUGUUUGGAAGUUAACAGGUUAAUUUAACUUCUAAAAUGUAAGAUGUCCCUCAGAUCUGAACAUUUUGAAUCAAAUGAGAGAACUAUUCUCUAUUUACAUUUCCCCCAAUAGACAGCUCUGUGUGUGUGUGUAUGAAUAGAUAUGCUUGGCCUUGAAAGCCAGCGAGCAGCAGCAGUGCACCCACAGCUCCCAAACUGCUGCCGUCGUCACAGUAAUGCAGUGUGGUUGUUUCCAUCCAGAUGGGCACAGCUUUAGACAAAAUGGCCGCCAGUCUCUCCCUCUGCCAAAGAUGGAGGGCGCAUCUCUGUUGUCUGCCAUCUGUGCAUCCGUUAGCUGUUGUCGAAUGCAAAUCGAGGCUAAUUGCAUUUGCAUAACCUCCAACCAUCAUGUCAUUGGCAUGUGCUGAUAAUUGCUCCUGUGAACGCGGCGUAGCGGCAAGCGAAACAGGAGCGAUGUUUUAAAGUGUAUUUUGCCGCUGUUUGUUUUUCUCUUAGGGUCGUAUGCGCACCCUGAAAUGUGUUUGAUAGGUGUUGGGCGCGUGUGAGAUCAAGAGUCUGGUCCUAUACUGUGCCAUAUGAUUGGUGAUGGUAGAAAAUCACUGUUUGGCUGAACAACUUGACUCAACUGACCCAGAUUGGACUGGACCAAUUCAACCACUUUUUGUUGAUUUCCUGCUAAAUGAUUAAAGCUUCUGACACAAAAUAUGUUGUGUGGACAGUCACUACUUUGCCUCUGAACUUACACACAAACACAUGUUAAGGUGAGCCGCUAAAUCUUCAAAUCCAAGGAACAGUCACUGACAAAGAGAGACUUUGAAACAGAUUUUUGUUCUUCAAGAUGUGUUUUUAAAGUUAAACAGCAUGUAUAUUUAGUGGGUUAAUACAUUAGAUAUGAAAAGGUAUUAUAAUUAAAGUGAUUUUAUUUUUCUAAAUAUAUUAAGGAUCAUGCUAAUUGAUGUAAACUGAUAUCUGAUUGUGGGCUUAACUACGUUAAUUGAUCCUGUUGUACGUUGUGGAAAAGUCAUUGGAGGUGUGGUUUUUAAAGUGUAUUUUUUAGUCGGCGAUCACUCCACGAUGUUUCGAUGUCGAGGUUGAAUCCAUUGAUAAAUACUCUGAGGUGUCAUAGGUUGAAACUGUACUGUGUGAAUAUUUGGUCAAUAAAGAGAACAUUGACUUUGA